rnacentral:rRNA from 1 species
AGCGGCAAUAGCUCAAAUUUGAAAUCUGGCUCUUUCAGGGUCCGAGUUGUAAUUUGCAGAGGGCGCUUUGGUGUCGGCAGCGGCCUAAGUUCCUUGGAACAGGUCAUCAUAGAGGGUGAGAAUCCCGUAUGUGGCUGCUUGUCUUCACCGUGUAAAGCCCCUUCGAUGAGUCGAGUUGUUUGGGAAUGCAGCUCUAAAUGGGAGGUAAAUUUCUUCUAAAGCUAAAUAUUGGCCAGAGACCGAUAGCGCACAAGUAGAGUGAUCGAAAGAUGAAAAGCACUUUGGAAAGAGAGUCAAAAAGCACGUGAAAUUGUUGAAAGGGAAGCGCUUGCAGCCAGACGUGCCCGUAGUUGCUCAUCUGGGGAUUUCCCCAGUGCACUCUUCUAUGGGCAGGCCAGCAUCAGUUCGGGCGGUUGGAGAAAGACCUGUGUCACGUAGCUCUCUUCGGGGAGUGUUAUAGGGCAGGUGGAAUGCAACCAGCCUGGACUGAGGUCCGCGCAUCUGCUAGGAUGCUGGCGUAAUGGCUGUAAGCGGCCCGUCUUGAAACACGGACCAAGGAGUCUAACAUCUAUGCGAGUGUUUGGGUGUCAAGCCCGAGCGCGUAAUGAAAGUGAACGGAGGUGGGAACCCCUCGGGGUGCACCAUCGACCGAUCCUGAUGUCUUCGGAUGGAUUUGAGUAAGAGCAUAGCUGUUGGGACCCGAAAGAUGGUGAACUAUGCCUGAAUAGGGUGAAGCCAGAGGAAACUCUGGUGGAGGCUCGCAGCGGUUCUGACGUGCAAAUCGAUCGUCAAA